rnacentral:rRNA from 1 species
AAUGAACGCUGGCGGCGUGCCUAACACAUGCAAGUCGAACGAGAAAGUUUCUUCGGAAACUAGUACAGUGGCGAACGGGUGAGUAACACGUGAGAAUCUACCUUUUAGUGAAGGAUACCCUCGAGAAAUCGAGACUAAUACUGCAUAAGCCCUGCGGGGGAAAGACGGCCUCUUUGCUGUCGCUAAAAGAUGAGCUUGCGGACUAUUAGCUAGUUGGUAGGGUAAUGGCCUACCAAGGCGAUGAUGGUUAGCCGACCUGAGAGGGUGACCGGCCACACUGGAACUGACACACGGCCCAGACUCCUACGGGAGGCAG